rnacentral:snoRNA from 1 species
AACCCAUUGUGAGGGCACCUUUUCAAUAAAUCCUUAUACCUCUCCCAUGCAUCAUAUAGAGUCUCUAAGUCAAUCUGCAUGAUGGAAGAGAUAUCGUUCCUCAACUU